rnacentral:rRNA from 1 species
UAACACAUGCAAGUCGAACGAAGCACUUUCUUUAGAUUCUUCGGAUGAAGAAGACUGUGACUGAGUGGCGGACGGGUGAGUAACGCGUGGGCAACCUGCCCUGUACAGGGGGAUAACAGUUAGAAAUGACUGCUAAUACCGCAUAAGCGCACGAGGACGCAUGUUCUUGUGUGAAAAACUCCGGUGGUACAGGAUGGGCCCGCGCCUGAUUAGGUAGUUGGUGGGGCAGCGGCCUACCAAGCCGACGAUCAGUAGCCGACCUGAGAGGGUGACCGGCCACAUUGGGACUGAGACACGGCCCAAACUCCUACGGGAGGCAGCAGUGGGGAAUAUUGCACAAUGGGGGAAACCCUGAUGCAGCGACGCCGCGUGAAGGAAGAAGUAUUUCGGUAUGUAAACUUCUAUCAGCAGGGAAGAAACUGACGGUACCUGACUAAGAAGCACCGGCUAAAUACGUGCCAGCAGCCGCGGUAAUACGUAUGGUGCAAGCGUUAUCCGGAUUUACUGGGUGUAAAGGGAGCGUAGACGGAGAGGCAAGUCUGAAGUGAAAGCCCGGGGCUCAACCCCGGGACUGCUUUGGAAACUGCAGUUCUAGAGUGCCGGAGAGGUAAGCGGAAUUCCUAGUGUAGCGGUGAAAUGCGUAGAUAUUAGGAGGAACACCAGUGGCGAAG